rnacentral:ncRNA from 1 species
AAGAGCCGAAUGCGGGAAAUCUGCACGUUCGGUUCGUUGAGGGGGAUGGAAGUCUAACAGACUUCCAUCUCUAC